rnacentral:lncRNA from 1 species
AGUUUCCUAAACUUCACUAUGUUGUGAGUGAUGGACUUCUCAACUAUUCGGUACUCUGGGGCAGGGUGUUGAGAAAGGUUGGCUUGGUUUUGUCCUACGGCAGUAGUCAAUUCUUGGAUAGCUCAUAAUAGUUCAAUAAACUCGAGCCUGGUUGGAUGGUCUUAGGUCUUGGAUCUUUUGGUACGUUCUACAAAAGGUCUCCCUUACGUCA